GCUCGGCUGACCUCUAACUUCUCUGAAAACACGAACAAGACAGACCUGCUGCUGCCUGGGCUGCCCCAGGGGGCUCUUUUUCCACUUAUGUGAUUUCCUUUGAUAUUAUUUCUCUUCUUUCCAUAUCCAAGGCUCAGACCUUCAGUGCUCCCUGCAGUUCAGUCCCGUUUUUUGUUUUUUUUUUUCCAGCCCCUUAUUGCCAGCUCCCAGUUUGCGGAGCUCACUCGGCUCGCCAGGAGCUCCUGGCACAGGCAGGUGGCUGGGAACGGUGGUGCCGGGUAGUGCAGGAUGCACGAAAUUCCCAGUUUGGAGACCACCGAUGUCAAGUACCUUUAGCUGUCCCUGCAGCGUUCAAAUGUUGGAUAUCUCUGCUUGGUUGACUUGCAUUUUCAAACCCAGAUGUCCCAAAAUCCACACCAAAAAAGGCCAGGAUUUCAGGUGAAGGUUUCCCCAGGUGUCCCCAUGCUCAGGGCUGAACCUCCUCAUCACACACACACACAUUUAGGUACUGGGAUCUAAGUUUAGGACCUCAGCUUUGGACGUGCAGUUCAACAGCUCUGCCUGCUGCUCCGUAUUCAUUACCGAUCCCAUCCCACAUGGACCUGAAGCCCACCAGGCAAGCUCACAUGCAGCUUAACACUCAACUGAUUAACUCUGGCUUGGCGUAAGCUUUUUUUCAUGCCGUUCUUCAGCAAUCUGACAUGAAAAGAGACACACACACACUUCCAUGACUCAGAGGAAGGCAGUGAUUUCAAGCCAUAAAGCACCAGGUGCACUUUUGAGACUCACCAAAUCCAGCUCUCCUGGUUGCCAUAAAAAACACAUUAGCCAAAGGCUGAUGCAUGUGGAAGGCAAUUACGCUCUGGCACAUGGCAACAUGUACAGAACAGCCUGGUAACACUGCCUACCACACGAGGAAAAAUAUCCCUGUGAAAACAAGCCUGCUAAAUCACUUCAUUCUUCCCUGAAUCCCCUGAAAAUAAAAGGGAGGAUUUGGGGGAGGAGGGGGACCCCUGAGGGAGGGAGUUUCCCAAAUGUAGGUGCACCGUGCAAGACCUGAUGUAAAUGAAUGGGUUCCUGCAGAUGCAAGAAGCUGUGAGGAGGUCUCCUAGUCCAGGUUUCCACACCAGCACCUGACCAUGCUCAGGUAGCUCCUGCUGCUGAGUGCUCUGCAGUCAGCAGCCCCAGUGCCUGCCUCACCCACCGGGUCCACAGAAGCCCACCUCUGCCAUGAACGCCAGCUGAGGACCCUCAACAUGGGGACAGGAGCAAGCAGAGAGAAGGUCUUCAAAGGAAGAAAUUCCAGAGAAGGUGGAAGAUUACUGAAACGUGGCUUGAUUGAGAGAAAAAAAUGCUUGACUCCUUUUUUUUUUUAUUAUUCCUGCAUGGAGCAAAUGGCUGAGGAUGGCAUUCUUUGUGGCUGGAAGUAUCCAGCAGUCUCCAGGUGGGGAUGGUGUUGAGGUGACUCUUGUAAAAGAUUAGUCCUGCACACACGUGCUGCUAUCUACAGAUGUGCCUGCAAAGAGGCUUGUAGAUAUAUUUUGCCUCUUGGCUUCAAAUAAAACUGUGCUUCAGUCAGCUGGUGAUUGUGAUGUUCCCCCUGCACAGGAAUAAUGCCCAGGGUCCCUUUCCUCUACUCCCACCUCGGGAAGGAGCUGGAUAAACAGCUGGAAAAAGUCUGUGACCUGAAGGCUGGUGAGGGAGGGGAAGUAUCUCACUAUCUCACCCAGUGCUGUGCAGAGAAGCAGAGGCAGAGCCAAACACCCUAACCCCUGGCCCCUCACCCAGCAGAGGACACCAGGUAGAAAAGAGGCUGUGAGGAUGGUGAACAUUUCAUCUGGGUCAAAUACCAUUAAGCAAAAAUACCAAGCUGGGAAGCACAAAAACAGCAUCAGCUGAAGGUCUGCAGUGGGAUGAAUCUCCAGCACUUCCACACCUUCAGCUCUGGGAACCGAAGCUAAACCUUGCUUUGAUGUGGGACUUUAUGGCUGCGCCCGUGUGGCUGCAGGGGGCAGUUCUGCAGUCCUAUAAAAUAGGUGCACAGUAGGUAAAAGGGACGCGCCAGAUAAAAGGGACGCACGCAAGAAACCCAUCCCUGGCACUCUAGAGGGGCGUGAGCUUCUCCUGCACUUUUCUUGAAGCCACCAGAAGCACUCGCUGCCCUGAGCUGCACGGAGGAUGCGAGAGGGGAAGCCUGUCAACGCGCAGAUUAAAAUUAAUGCUCGUCCUGGCUGAGACGAGGGAGCUGCACCGCUCGGGUGGAAGAUGCAGCACCAGGGAGUGCAGGAGGAAGGGCAGGGCUGGCGUUUCACCUCUGGGUUUGCAUUUCUUGGAUAGACCCGACCUGUGCGGGGUGGGUGCGCGGCGUUACCCAGCCAGCCGCAUCCCACCGACGCUUAAUUUGAAAUUCCUUUGUUAAAAAUUAUUUUUAUUACCAUUUUCCAGACCUCGAUGCCGAGUUCUGGCAGCAAUACGGGGCCGGGAGGUGUCGGGGCACACCGUCUGCUCCCUGCUGCUGGGACGCGGGCAGGCUGAGCGCUGCGCCCGUGCUUCUGGCUCCCCAGCAGGCUGCCGGGGCUCCCUUCCCUCCCAGCGCAGAGAUAAGCGUGCCACCUAGAGGAAAUCCCCUUCACUGCCAGCACCGGCAGCUGAAAAUUAUCCAAUAAAGAAUAAUUAACCUCUGGCUUGGGAGAAAAUCCUCCUCCCGUGCCCUGCAGCAGCUCCGGGCUGCUGCGCAGGCACGUCGCGGAGGGAUGGCGAUGCACCGAGGUGCCCCAGUGAGCGCUGUGGGGCCAGUCCGUGGCUUCCCAUAUCCCAUGCUCUGCCAUCCCUGCCUCUGAGAAACAGGCUGCACGUACCACGGGGCGAGGGGACUGUAUAUAUCAUAUAAUGCCCUCCAGUGGCAGCUAGCAGCAGUCCCAAGCCCACAGGUGUGAAGGUGAAGGGGGACGGUGGCGGUGUCACCUCCUGGCCCAGCAGCUCCCACCCCGUGGGGCCCGGGCAGUGCUGGGGAUGGAGCUGUGGCCCCACAGAGGGCAGAUCCACGUCUGCACAUUGUUCCUGAGAAAAAUCUCCUUUGUGCUUGACUCGCCACGGGCACCCUCACCAACCCACCAGGCACCCGCGGGGCCAGAAGAUGCAAUGUGGGAGCAGGUGGGGCAGCAGGUGCCACAAACCUGGUGUCCUCUAGGAUUUUUCCCUGCACCUCUCCUGCCCGCACUGCUCCUCACCACCUCGUGGCUGCUGUCCCAAUGCUGGUGUCCCUGCGGCUGGGCACGGUGCUCGUACAGAGCAAAGGGCUUCACGGCACCACGCGGGAAGCUCGCGCGCUUUGCAGGCCUUUUAUUUCCUGCCAUGGCCGAGAGGAGCCUAGUUGUAAUAAAAAUCUGGGCUCCGAUCCUACAAACACUUAUGCCUAAGCUUAACUCUAAGCACGUGAGCCGUCAAAGGGGACUAUUCAUGUGCUUAAAAUUUAAGCAUGUGCUUAAGCGUCUGCAGGCCUGGAGUCUGUCAGUGCGGGGAUUUGUGUGCUAAGCCCAUAUUCUGGGUCAUUAUCCUUUUCAUGUCUUCUCUGGCAUUUCAGAAGAUGCUUCAAAGGGGAAUUUUCAAGUUCUUCAAUAAACUUUGCCUUCCCAAGCAGCCUGGAUUCUUGCCUAUUCUAUGGGGCGAUUCUCCUCCGCUGCACCCCCUCCCCCUGUCAGCGAUAAUCCUGUGCUAUUUCAUGCUUGGCCAGACAAUUAAGCCCUCUUGCUGCUUGGCUCUGUCUUUGUUAUGUAUAAUUGUUCCAAAUAAUUAGCCACUAUUGCACGCUACUCUGAAACUACUUUGUAUUGCAAUUAUACUUAGAGGGCGAGCAUCAGCUGAGGGAGAACCCAAGCAGCAGACAGCCUGCAAAGAAAGGGCCGGGGGGAGACGGAUGCGCGCCUAAAGCAGCACCGCAGGGCGGCCGAGGGUUGGGAAUAGAUAAAUGGUGCUUGGGGAUGGUCUGCAGAUGGUGGGGUCUGUCCAGAGAGCUGAGGGUGGGCUGUGGGACCUCGUCCUGGGCGUCACCUGGCUGCCACCUCGUGGUGCUGGCUCUGGAGCAGCAGGUAACACUGCGGUGAGCGCGUUGGCCAUCUCUGUGUGAUGGGAAUGCAAAGCUGCUCUGGGAUGUUUAGGGGCUGGCAGCAAAAUGGUCCCUACUUGUGUCUGUGGGUACUUUUGGGGGGUGAAACGUGUGGUUCCCAAGGGUCCGGCAGCUUUCUGUUUGCUCACCAGCAAGCUCGUCGCACAGUGGACAAGCACCAGGCGGGAUGCUCAGAAGAGUUACACCUCCACGUGAAGCACCUUUUUUUAGAUGAAAAUGCUGUGGUGCAGCACGGGCACCUUAUUAUUACUCAGUCUCUGGUAUUUCAAGCAGGGAACAUCUGAGAAGGAUAUAACCAGGCACCUGGGUUGGUGUGAGCUGUGCUGGUCAGUUAAUUCCUCUGCUGAAACCUGGGGCCUGCCCUGAGCAAGGGCACUUCAGCAGUCCCAGUGCACAGACUGUGUCCCGCAGCAAAUACUUCGAAAAAGGGUAAAGGAGAGUGUAUCCUGAGAGAUCCUUUCCCAGAUUUGAUAAAUGGUGCUUUGGGAGUUUCCCAACCUGACGUGUUUAGUGGUGACCCUCCCUGAGCAAACCCCAUCUCCUCCUGGUCUCGGCCGUGCCCCAAACCCCAACGGGCCACACACGGAGCCCCCCCGUGUCCCCUUGCCCAUUGUGGGGACGACGAGGACGAUCCGGGUGCCCCCUGAGCCCCCCCGGUCGCCGGCCGGGAGCGGCUUCCCAGGGCUUUCCACUGGAGGUCAGUGUUGGCCCGAGCACGGCGGCUGCCACCCCGGCCACCUCGCCCCUGCCACCGCGGGGGACAGACCCCCUGUCCCCACAGCCGGCGCUGUGUCCCCUGUUCUACUUCGUUAGGAAUUCACCAUCGGCCGGCGGAGCACAUUUCUGCUGGUCCCACUGCACUCAUCACUCCAUCACCGGGUGGCCCUAAUGGCUGAGUCCUGACCUUUUGGUUCCUUUGGGUCCCUUUGGGUCCCUUUGGGUUCCUUUGGGUCCCUUUGGGACCAAAACUUCUGUCCGUCUCCAAGUGGUGCAUGUGCACAGGACAAAGCAUCACCUGGAAUAAAACUUCCUUCUGAUCUACAAUUUCCAGCACCGGGACUGCCAGCGGACACCUGGCAGCAUCCAGCCAGAACCCAACCCUACCGGAGGGACCGACCAAUCCUCCAGGAAACGUGCUUCUAAAAUUUCAGCUCAUGUGUUUGUUUGCACCCAAGUGGAAAAACGCUAUUUGUAGCUUGGGAAUAGCACCUGAAAAGAGCACUCGGCGUUGCUUGUUUUAACCUGUGGGGAAGCAGCAGGAAUUUGGGGCACGCAUGAGACGAGCAGAACGCCGCCGUACGCAGGCACCCGCGGCAGCCUGGCCAGAUCUCCCCGGGCAGCUGCUGUUUCUGAGAGAAAAAAUGCUUUAGCUGUCAAUGGGAGCAAAGCUUGGGUACAAGGCUCCCAACAUCCAGGCUGAGCGACCUGAAUCCUGCCCAAUUUACCACGGCAUCCUCCGAGAAGCCAUCUGCCCGGAUCUCCAGACAAACCUCUCUGGCACAUCUGAUCCCAAAGGACCACGCUCAUUCCACCAUGGAGAAGAGCAAACAAAGUUUAGCCUCUGGCUUUCUGGAGUAAGAUGAGGACGGCUCUGACUGCCACUACUUAAUAUCACCUGAACUCUCCGGCUGCUGCUAAAUAAAGAGGGGAGGAUUUCAAAGGAGACUUGGUUUCACAGCCAAAAUCUGGGUGAUAAUUGCUCCCGUUUCAUUCAAAAUCCCUCUUAUUCACUGAGUAGGGACACUGAAAAGACACUAAAACAGACAAAGGGCGCAGGUAUAAACUUUACAAAGCUUAAAACUACUCUGUCCCAGCAAGGCUUAUGCUUUACAUGACACUUUAAUCCUACUCAUUUGCUAGAUUCACCCUAACUGUAAACAAAGCUUUGAAACGAAAGCUUAAGAGCCUAGUUGGGAUACAUUAAGUUAACCAAGAAGACACUCUUAAGGCAUUAGUUUAAUGACAAUCCCAAUACGAGUGCCAGAGGUUUGUGCAUGUGGGGAUUAAUAUCUGUAGGGAGAAGAAAAGGGGUUUGUUCCCCGUGCUUUCAGCCUCUUUGGCAACACAGGGCCCACUGCCUGCUGCCUGCAGGCGAUCCGACAGCAUUGAAAACCUUUUCUGACACCCACUGCUCACCCUGCAAGGCUCUGGGGGGACUGGGUUGGAGCAGGGGGCCAGAUAUCCUAGCACCAAGCCCGGGGAGCUUCAGCAUCACCUGCCCACCCCCGCCACCCAGCACCCAUUCCCUUUUGCACCAGUGCCGGGCUGUGCCCCGCUGUGCGCCGCGUACAGGACAGCACUUUGCAGGCUUUCUGGAGGUAAAAAAUCUCUACCCAUAGACAGCUUUUAUAGAAAGCAGAAAUAUUUUCAGGGGAAAAGUUUUCUCACCCAGCCCUUUCCGAGCAGGGCUAUCAGUAAGCGAGAAGCACAGAAGCUGCUGCUGGGAGCAGCGGGGGAGCUGAAAGGAGAAACCAGACAAAGCAGGAGCAGACCAGAGCCAGGAGGUUUUUACAGACAGGUGAAUCCCCAUUUUUAAGGAGACCGAGAAAAGAAAAGCCCCGACAGUGCCCUGCACACAGCUUUUGGUCACAGACAGCAGUCGGGGGAUGAGAUGCUCGGGUCUGCACCGCCACCCCAGUGACACCCAGCUCCUCCUUAAGGGCUGUGGGAACCGCUCUGCUUCAGAGCACUCCCUGCAGUGAUGGGGGAAAUCAGUUGCUUUUACCUGGAGGGUGUUUAGACAAGAAAAGCUGAAUCCAGCAACCAGUGGCGGGGAGUCCUGCCUCCUAGCCUGGCUGAGCACUCUGGCUGGACGGUCCUAUAAAUAAAGAGCACCAGGCUGGGCAGUGAACAGACUGGGAUUUUAAUCGAUUUUGUGCCUAGGAAGGAAAGCUACGAUCUCCUAACCUGAUGUGCUAAAUCACAGGUUUACCUGCAAGGGAUUUCGGGGAGGGAAGACACGCUCCCUGCUACACAGAUGGAAACCAUCGGGUCCAGCAAGAACAGCGUGGGCAAACCUCUCAGCUCCCUCGUGAUGACUGCAACCAUCGCACAGCUCGGCAGUGAUGUUCCUGGUUCAUCUUCUGCCCUCGCCAGGGCUCAGGCAGGGCAGCGCGGGCUCUGGCAGAGCUGUGCUGGGUCCAGUCCUGGUCAGCCACUGGGCGUGCUGGGGUGGUCUAAACAUCAGAAAAAUAAUGGGAAAUGAAAAACCCACACUGGCUGGGGCUGGAGCUACCUGAGAUGACAUAAAGGAGAAGAGGUCUCAUCUGCACAGCAGGAGAUGAAGGCUCACCCUUGUCCAAGGCCCUGCUCCUUUGUAACGCUGGGAACCCCGGGAGAAGCCCUGGCCCUGU